rnacentral:misc_RNA from 1 species
GCCAAAAAGGAAUAAACAUCAGUAUAAAAUUUAAAGGUAAAAUAUUCUCACUAUAUAUUCAGGAUUAUUAGCAUCAUUGAUAAGGAGAACAUUGAACACUUCCAAACAUAAGCAUUCAGAUCUGCAUGAUACACCAAAAAUCGCAUAGAAAACAUUCUUCUUGUAAAAGAAUUGACAUACAAUAAAUCCAGAGAAAAUCAGUACAUCAUGUCCUAGAAACUUCUUUUAUUGGUAGGCAGCACUUUUGUUUUACAAACCUAUUACCUAUUAAUCAAAUUUAGUAUUUGAUAACUGAAAAGCUCAGUGGUAUUGUACUAAAAGCCAACGACAACAUUAAGCUAGUAUGAAAUUACCAAUAUCACAGGACAAGCGAAAUUAAUGAAGCACUCAAUCCACAGCCACAAGCAUGUAAAGAUGAAUUUACUAGCCUAAUCAAAAGAUUCUAACCACAAGGCAGAAUAAACAAACACUUGACAAAAACAUCAUCUAAUCUGUAAUUGAUAGUUAGUUUUAGAUGAAUCUCCAAGAAUUUUUGUAUAAAUUGGUGAGUAGCUGCAUUAGCGAGCAUAAAUUUAAAAAACUAGUUCUCAUAUCAUAAUCUAGAAAACAAAGCAGAUGAAGAUCAUGGUGUAGGCUUACUUACCUUCAAUCCACCACUAAUUUUUAAUCAGCUUAUUAUAUUUCCCCAGCAUCUAUCAUAAAUUAAGAGCAUCACAAUUUACAAGCACCAUAAUAGUGCAAGUCCUGGGCCAGCUAGGGCAGUACAGAAUAAUUUUGUAGGCAAUUUCCAAUGGUUACAAAAUUAGCAUGUGUUUCUAUUACGCCACCUCACUCCUACCAAACCCUCUGUGUCUCCCUUCAGAAGAUGACAAUAAACUAGUUGUCUCAUGGUAUUAUUUCAACUUGGUCAGACAGCAAUAAUCACAGCAGAAUAAGCUGUCUGCCUGAAUAGCUUUGAGGCUCUGGGCCAGGCCACCAGACUAGGAUAAAGGAUCAGUAUUAAGCUUGAAAGAAGUAAACGUUAGGUAUCCAACAUAUGGGGCACACUAGAUAAUGUGGAUUUGAAAAUAAGAGUGUGACUUUUGAAAGGUUAUCAAACAAUUAUUUUAUGAUGCAGAUGAACCAGACCCCUCAAUGCAAAACCUAUAUAAUCAAAGAAAGGGAAAUUUUAUGCUGCUUUAUGAUGUUUCUUUUCUUU